UUUUAAUGCCAGAGAGGUAGAGAAUACAGAAUUAUGAUUUUUUUUUGUAGAUAGUCCAUAAAAUAACAAAACUUUUAUUUAUAUUUAUUCUAAUUCACUUCAAGGUUUGUGUAUUUUUCAAAUCAGCAAACACAUACACCCACCCACCCAUAACUCAAAAUACCAAAAAAUCUCAAAAGAGUCAAAUUUUAAAUCCACUUAAAAAUGAAUUUAAGAAUUUUGAAUGUUAUAAUGUUCUACUUACAACAAUUCAGGUGCGAUCCACAUCAGAAAAAAAAGUGAGGUAUUGUUUACAAAACUACACACAGGAAAUGUAAGAUCCGGAAUAUAUAAACAUUAACGAUACACAAGCUUCCCUCCUUAUGCUAGGCACACCUUGAUGUUGUAACACUUUGAGAAACAAAAACAAAAAAUCAAAAAUCAAAAGCCAGUGAUUAGUCGGACAUGUCACAAAUUGUCUCAGUAUGUACACAGGCAGCUCAGCACAGGGAGACCACAAGAAUCAAUGGCACCAAUUUAGUAGCCUGCCAUUCCACUACCUCGGACAGGAACAUCAAUUAUGAAUUACACAACACAUUGCCCUAUAUUUUGGUGUGUUAGCACUUAUCCUUUUAGAUCAUCAUAAAAGCCUUCAUACUUUACUGCCUACCAAUCCAUAUCAGAGAAACUAAAGGAAAAAAAAACUUUUUUUUUUUAUACCAGUAGUUCAGUUACUGUCCUAAGUGACCUAGAUUAGGGACAGAAAUUUGUCAUCCAAUCAAAGCUCUAGCUAAAAUUAUGAAUUAAUUCCCUAGUAUAUCAUACGUCAGACCUCUCCCCUGCUUUAUAUGACAGGAACUGUGUACUAGCAAACCUUGUCUCUCUAUAAAUAAACCUGAUAUUGGUGAUACCGGCUGUUCCUACAGUGGGCCGGGAUUUCAGGAUGUGAAUUACUCCAUUAAUACCAGGCGGAGGCUUGCGUCAGGCACAUUAGCACUUAGCAGUCCUUUCAUAGACCACUUUCAUCCUCACCAUCCGUGAUUUUUCAUCCCUAACACUGGAUUACGGACAUGACAGCCCACCUUUCAAUCAAUUUCUGUUCAGCACUCCUUACAGAAAUGUACAUUAGAUAUGAGGAAGAAAUAUCUGCAAACGGAAACUACCCCCUGCUUAUUAUUUUCAAUAGGAAGGGAGAAAAUGCAACGGACCAGACCGGGAUUCGAACUCGUGCGCCCUGAAUCUCCAUUCAGGUGCUCUACCAACUGAGCUAUCUGGUCACCGGCGAUCGAACACGUCUGACCGCUACAUAUUAUAUUACUUUUCAUUAUGUGUAUUGUUUUACUUCUAUUUUCUUAAAUGUAAUUAUUUUUAUCUUAUAGGGUCUAUUACUACAGUACUUGUAAAUCAAAGAUAUUUACAUCCCUUACUAAUCUCGCUGUUACGUUUUAAUAGUCCCGUUCACAUGCGCCCAUUCACUAAUGGGUGUAAAUCUUAUAUACGUGCAAAUUUUAAUUCUGGUGUGUAAAUGUAAUUUUUGCAAUGCGCAUUUCCAAGCAAUAUCGAUGCAGUUUGAAGACGAGGAAUGAGAUGGAUAUAGCCUAUGUAGAUGUUGAUUUUACCAUAUCUUGUUCAGAUAUAAUAAUAUUUCAAUUGGAACUUACUAAAACAGAAGGUCACUGCUUUUUUUUUUAUAUAGGACAUGAUGUAAUUUAAAAAAGAUUGGAAUAUCUUAAUUUAUAGACAAUUUCAAUAAUUUGUACAUGUGUGUAAAUUUGCCAUACGUUCACAUUGAUGAAAAUACAGUCACCGAGAGUAAAUACUCUUAUAUAAAAGUUAAUUUGUACUCAGUCUGGCCAUAUGCAAAUUAAGUAAAUACACUCGCGUGCAAAUCUUGCUUUACCUCUAUUCACACGCGCCCCAAAAUACAAACCAAGUGCAAAAUUUGCGUUUACAUGUAUAUGUAAAGUUUAAGUGUAUUCAUAAUACACAUGUGUAGUAUACAUGUAGUGACCUUGUGUCUGGAGAUUAUCUGCUUCCCAAUUAUAUCAUGAUGUACAUAAUGAAAA